AUAAAUAAAUACGUUGUACCGUAGACAGCAGGUGCGUGAUACGCUUAAUUUCCUGCCGAGGUGUUCGCAUAUAAAACGCAGUUUUUCCUGCGUAAUGUGACCCUUCAUGUCUUGGUGCAUGAAGGGUUUUUUCUUGCACCG
rfam:Salimicrobium flavidum strain DSM 23127 genome assembly, contig: Ga0111645_112